rnacentral:rRNA from 1 species
AUUGAACGCUGGCGGCAUGCCUUACACAUGCAAGUCGAACGGUAACGGGCCUUCGGGUGCCGACGAGUGGCGAACGGGUGAGUAAUACAUCGGAACGUGCCCGAUCGUGGGGGAUAACGAGGCGAAAGCUUUGCUAAUACCGCAUACGAUCUACGGAUGAAAGCAGGGGACCGCAAGGCCUUGCGCGGACGGAGCGGCCGAUGGCAGAUUAGGUAGUUGGUGGGAUAAAAGCUUACCAAGCCGACGAUCUGUAGCUGGUCUGAGAGGAUGAUCAGCCACACUGGGACUGAGACACGGCCCAGACUCCUACGGGAGGCAGCAGUGGGGAAUUUUGGACAAUGGGCGCAAGCCUGAUCCAGCCAUGCCGCGUGCAGGAUGAAGGCCUUCGGGUUGUAAACUGCUUUUGUACGGAACGAAAAGCCUUCUUUUAAUACAGGAGGGUCAUGACGGUACCGUAAGAAUAAGCACUGGCUAACUACGUG